UUNGACUGUCUCGCGUUGAAUACCAGACACAUGCAGGACAUGCUAAAGAAUAAGAACAGAUAAAACUGGAAGUAAAAGUUUCUAAAAUCUACCUUCACAUCUCUAUUUCGAAUAAGUGAAGAAAAAAAAUAUGAAAAGGAGGAACAUACAAAUCAUAAUGAAGCAUAUACUGUUUACAAUAUACACAACUACUUCCCCGUCUAAUACCACGCUGGGCAAUGAAUUAUAAGCGACAGACAUUUAUGCAAGAUACCUCACAUGGAUCUUGUGUGGAAAUAACUACAGAUAUCAGGGCUAAUUAAUAAAAAUAACUUUAUCUUUGAUAAUAGUUUCCAUAUUGUGGUUUUCUAACUUUAGACUACGAACAACUGGGUUCUAUUAAUAGUACAUUCCAUACUUACUAUUUCGCAAGAAUUUACAGGUUAAAUAUUGUGCAAGAACACGAAAUUAUACAAGAUUAUUAAUAGAAUCCAAUGUAAAUUUUCCAACAAAACAUCAUCUGUAAGCUACAGAGGAAUGUUUGUGCUAUAAAGACCAAAUAACUUGAUAAAGCUACUGUGCUAGCGAAACAUGUUGUGAUAUAUUUUUCAAAUGAAGUUUGUGGGGAUCAAAUCAUGA